ACUAAACUGGAAGUAACUGAGGCGUUAACUUCCGGCUUACUCUUUGUCAAAAUCCGCUACAAAAUCAUUACUUUUCUGUUUCCUCUGUUGCCUCUGUCUUUUUAUUUCAGGACUGGGCGUGCUCAGGUGUGCUGAGCUCCUCACGCAGCUGUCUUCAACCUGCAUUUUAACCUCUGGUCUGACUUCCACUCCUCGCCAGAAUGUCCUUGUUACUUGCAUGCAGCUUGUUGUGAAGUGAGUUGAGUUCACCGCCACCAUACAGCAGACGUGCUCGCAAGCCGAAGCAAAAAAUCAGCAGAACGGUGGCUCGUAUCUCGGAAAACACUAGGCCACCACACAAAUGAUGCCAACCACCAACAAGGCCACACAGAUUCCUGUGAUCGUCAGCACCCGCCUUUGGUAGAGCUCCUCGGCCUCUGUGAAAGAAAACGCACACACGUGCAAAUACACACAUUCAUACGCAC